GCCGGUUUAGCUCAUUUGGUAGAGCACCUGACUUGUAAUCAGGGGGUGGCAGGUUCAAGUCCUGCAAUCGGCACCA
rnacentral:tRNA from 1 species